CUACGGGCGGCUCCAGUGAGGAAUAUUGCACAAUGGGGGGAACCCUGAUGCAGCAACGCCGCGUGGAGGAUGACGCAUUUCGGUGUGUAAACUCCUUUUAUAUGUCAAGAAAAUGACGGUAGCAUAUGAAUAAGCACCGGCUAACUCCGUGCCAGCAGCCGCGGUAAUACGGAGGGUGCAAGCGUUACUCGGAAUCACUGGGCGUAAAGGACGCGUAGGCGGGUUGGAAAGUCAGGUGUGAAAUCCUACAGCUUAACUGUAGAACUGCACUUGAAACUUCUAAUCUAGAGUAUGGGAGGGGGAGAUGGAAUUAGUGGUGUAGGGGUAACAUCCGUAGAUAUCACUAGGAAUACCUAAAGCGAAGGCGAUCUCCUGGAGCAUUACUGACGCUAAGGCGUGAAAGCGUGGGGAGCAAACAGGAUUAGAUACCCCCGUAGUC
rnacentral:rRNA from 1 species